rnacentral:tRNA from 1 species
CUGGAGAUAGUUAAUGGUCAAGACGAUAAUUUUAAAAAUUAUAUAACAUUAAUUUAAUGUCUCAAGA